rnacentral:rRNA from 1 species
ACGAUAACGAACGAGACCUUAACCUGCUAACUAGCGACGCGAACCCUCGUGUUCGUGGCCCGCUUCUUAGAGGGACUGUCGGCGACUAGCCGACGGAAGUUUGAGGCAAUAACAGGUCUGUGAUGCCCUUAGAUGUUCUGGGCCGCACGCGCGCUACACUGACGAAGCCAGCGAGUCUACAACCUUGACCGGAAGGUCCGGGUAAUCUUGUUAAACUUCGUCGUGCUGGGGAUAGUCCAUUGCAAUUAUUGGACUUGAACGAGGAAUUCCUAGUAAGCGCAAGUCAUCAGCUUGCGUUGAUUUCGUCCCUGCCCUUUGUACACACCGCCCGUCGCUAAUACCGAUUGAAUGGUUA